rnacentral:siRNA from 1 species
CACCACCACCACCUCCAGCGCCAC